GACAGAGGUGCCAAGCGUUAGGCGGAAUCACUGGGCUUAAAGCGUGUGUAGGCGGAAUUGUAAGUACCUUGUGAAAUCCCACGGCUCAACCGUGGAACUGCAUUCGAUACUGCCUUGCUCGAGGACUGGAGAGGAGAUUGGAAUUCACGGUGUAGCAGUGAAAUGCGUAGAUAUCGUGAGGAAGACCAGUGGCGAAGGCGGAUCUCUGGACAGUUCCUGACGCUGAGGCACGAAGGCCAGGGGAGCAAACGGG
rnacentral:rRNA from 1 species